rnacentral:lncRNA from 1 species
UUAGCUGCAGUCAAACUUGUUGAGACAAUUUGACAAUUGACCAAUUGAACAAUUUGACACGAAAAUAUAAUUAACAAUCGCUGCGAGGAUUUAGUGUUUAGGGAUACUAUCGAUUUCGAUCUGCAGUAGAUGGAUAAUUAGAAUAUUAGUGUCGUCUGCUUUCGAUUGGUUUUCACACAGAUUCGGAAUAAAAGAGAGAAUAAUAAGAGACGAAAGUUCGUGCAAAAUUACGGAGAAAAACGGAACGAUUAAACUGUUGGCUGCACGAAAAAAAGGGAAUAGCUCAAUAUGCAACACACUCUUCUGUUUCUCACAAUAAAACUAUUAAUAAAGACUACAAAUGGAAUGGUGAUGGCCUGAUGGGAGCUUAAAUGGAAGAGUUGAAACCUGUUUUAAAUUUGUGGAAAGCUAGUUGAUCCUGGCAACAGCAUUUAAUAUCAUAUUUCAGGCCUGAGCCAUCACAUCAAAAAGAUAUGCCAGUUUUGCUUUUGCUGGCAUUGACCUGUCAUCACCAUCAAUCUCAGCAUCAUCGGUUGGAUCAACAGCAUCCCGUUUGAUUGGAGAAACUUCAGGUGUCUUUCGAGCGUUGAAGAUCUCUUCUUCCCCUUUCUUUAAAUGUCCCCGUGUACGCCCAUGCGAGUGUGGGUGUAUUCACGAGGACGCCCUUUACCCUAUCCCGCCUGGUGUAAUUCUCAACUUUUCUCCGGAUGGAUCACUUGCUGUGGAUGUCUGGCUCUAUUUCCCAGGCUUCAAGCGCAGGGGCUGUGCUGACGAGCGGAUGGCAAAACCCGGCGAGUGAUGAUGGAUGAUGAAUCUCUUCUCUCAGUCUCACACACAGCGUCCUUCUUCUUCUUCUUCUUGGGCUAUGCUCCUCCUCCUCCCAACGAUGAUAACGAUAUUUUAUACAUGCAGCAGCAGCAGCUAUACAGGCCAACAUAAACCAGCUUUUUUAAUAUUUUUCCUAUAUAGAUGUGAUCCGUGUGUGUUCAAAAAACAAGGCAACUGCAGCAGCAGCAGCUGAUGAUGAGGCGACUGUAUAGAGUCGGGUCCAAUCAUCUACCAGGCCAAAGCAACAGCUAUCGCUCCGGGGACAGAAAAUGCCUAGCAAAGUGGUAGGGGGAUAGCUCAGCAGCUCAUCGAUGAUCAUCAUCUCUCUCUCUCUUGCUUGCUCUCGCUCGUGAACAAUUUUUUGACUCAUUGGAAUGACAAUACAGUUGUGUGGAGGGUUUUUGAUUCGUGCUGGAGCCCUAUGGGGGGGAAAAACGUAGAACAACAGCCAGUUGCGAGCAGAGAGAGGCGAAGUUUGAAACCUUUCGGGAGCCGACUUGAUGGAUGAGGGAAAUUUAUUCGUCAGAAAACGAUGGCGAUGAUGAUGAUGAUGAUGAUGACAGUUUGCCCAAGCGCAGCACAUACACACACAGCGAGACCUUCCUUCUUUUUUUUUUCAUAACUCUAGCGCGGUCCCAUCUGUUUUUUUCUUUUGUUUUUUUUCCAUUUGGCUCAGAGACAAACAUUAUAUACGCUCACACAAGCUCUGGGUGGCGCGCAGAAAUGAUUUAACAUUUUUUUUAUUUUUAUUUUUUUCAAAAACUGGUUUUUUGGCGCGGUUUGAAAUUAAAUUUUGGCCAGCGGGGAAAAGAACACGGAGACGGGGGCGUGACGUCAUCUGGGCGAUAUCAAGUUGGACUGCGCUUAUAGAAACUUUGUGUGAGCUUUGUGUGAAAAAUAUAUGAUCACGUCAAAA